AUGUGCAUUCUCUUCCCUCUUUGUUCAUGUUCACUUCUUCCAAUCUUUCAUAAAAAACUCUUUUUCGAAUUACAAUCCUUCAUCAUCAACAUCAAUCCUUUCAUAUUCUAAUCUAAAUCCAUUUUUGGAUCUAAUCUAAACUCUUCCAAAUCCCAAUCUAAACCCUUUUAUUUAUGAACAGUAAUCCCAUUUUGUUGUUGUUGUUGUUGU
rnacentral:lncRNA from 1 species